GGCUGGUCCGAGUGCAAUGGUGUUUAUUACUAACUGAUCACAACCGAUUACAGAUUUCUUUGUACUUUCUCCACUCCCAUUACUUCACUUGACUAGCCUAAA
rnacentral:Y_RNA from 1 species